GAGGGUAUAGCUCAAGUGGUAGAGUGUGUGCUUAGUGUUCAGGAGGUCCUGGGUUCAAUCCCCAGUACCUCCU
rnacentral:tRNA from 1 species